AACGCGAAGAACCUUACCAAGGUUUGACAUGGCCGGAAAAGCAUCAGAGAUGGUGUGUCCUUCGGGGUCGGUCACAGGUGGUGCAUGGCUGUCGUCAGCUCGUGUCGUGAGAUGUUGGGUUAAGUCCCGCAACGAGCGCAACCCUCGUCCUAUGUUGCCAGCGGGUCAUGCCGGGGACUCAUGGGAGACUGCCGGGGUCAACUCGGAGGAAGGUGGGGAUGACGUCAAGUCAUCAUGCCCCUUAUGUCUUGGGCUGCAAACAUGCUACAAUGGCCGGUACAGAGGGCUGCGAACUCGCGAGAGUAAGCGAAUCCCGUAAAGCUUAUCGUAGUCCGGAUCGGAGUCUGCAACUCGACUCCGUGAAGUCGGAAUCGCUAGUAAUCGUAGAUCAGCAUUGCUACGGUGAAUACGUUCCCGGGCCUUGUACACACCGCGCAUA
rnacentral:rRNA from 1 species